rnacentral:rRNA from 1 species
AAAGCGCACGUAGGCGGAUCUUUAAGUCGGGGGUGAAAUCCCGGGGCUCAACCCCGGAACUGCCUUCGAUACUGGGGAUCUUGAGUCCGGAAGAGGUGAGUGGAACUCCUAGUGUAGAGGUGGAAUUCGUAGAUAUUAGGAAGAACACCAGUGGCGAAGGCGGCUCACUGGUCCGGUACUGACGCUGAGGUGCGAAAGCGUGGGGAGCAAACAGGAUUAGAUACCCUUGU